rnacentral:SRP_RNA from 1 species
GGAAGGUUGGCAGUGGACGAGGUCCUCGCCAACCCGGUCAGAUCGGGAACGAAGCAGCCGUAACGAGUUUUCUCGGGUCAUUGUUCAAUCUUCCACU